CCUACGGGACGCAGCAGUAGGGAAUCUUCCACAAUGGGCGCAAGCCUGAUGGAGCCACACCGCGUGAGUGAAGAAGGGUUUCGGCUCGUAAAGCUCUUUUGUUGGGGAAGAACGUGGGUGAGAGUAACUGUUCUCGCAGUGACGGUAUCCAACCAGAAAGUCACGGCUAACUCCGUGCCAGCAGCCGCGGUAAUACGUAGGUGGCAAGCGUUAAUCGGAUUUAUUGGGCGUAAAGCGAGCGCAGGCGGUUUG
rnacentral:rRNA from 1 species